ACUGCACUGAGCAAACACAGUGAUAGGUGUCAGCCUCCAACGACAAUACAUACACAUACAACUACAACCCAAGGCUGUGAGAGAGAGCGAGCAGAGCUAAGCGGUGCCCUGCCAUGAACUGACAGAACAAUAGUGUGAUGAUGCAGCGUCAUUUGUAAGGUGAGAUCUUGUGCUUGCUUUGCAGUGCAACACUGGACAAAUCGUUUGCUGCGGCUGCAGCUGAUGUGGAGAGGAUGGUCAGCCUGCCAGCAACUCCUUGGCUGCUACUGCUUGGUGAGAAAACAGCAAGCUGUACUAAACGCUGGGUGGUCAGUCUUGAGGGACACAUCACCAGUGAAGGCAACUUUCUUGACCAGGCUUAACUUCUCUAUUUUCCACAUUCUACAGCUUCAAGCUUUAAUAUCAAAGACAUGCAACAUAAUCAGCUGAACUAGAACAUGUAGAUAAAAUGCCUCUAAUAGUGGGACACCACUGCAGUGUGAUGUCACAUGGUUGCGCUGGACACUGCGCUUGGUUCUGGUCUAUUGAAGGAGAAACAGCAAGCUAAAUGUCUCACAUUCAACCUUAGUUGUUUCCAGGUGUUUUUACUUUGACAUUUCUCACUCAGUGAAGGAGGCCAAGUGUCCAGUGCAACCAAAUAACAUCACUCUCCCAUCACUCCGAUGGUGGUCUACCAGGAAUAGGACUUUAGUCUACUUUUAAUAAUAAAAGACACUAGAAGAGGGAAAUUUGUGAUCAAAUUUUGUGUUGACCUGA